UACGGAGGGUGCGAGCGUUGUCCGGAAUCACUGGGCGUAAAGGGCGCGUAGGCGGCGCGGUGAGUCAACGGUGAAAGCUCGGCGCUCAACGCCGAGUCGGCCGUCGAUACUCCCGUGCUUGAGCACUGUAGAGGCAGGUGGAAUUCCGGGUGUAGCGGUGGAAUGCGUAGAGAUCCGGAAGAACACCGGUGGCGAAGGCGGCCUGCUGGGCAGUAGCUGACGCUGAGGCGCGACAGCGUGGGGAGCAAACAGG
rnacentral:rRNA from 1 species